rnacentral:rRNA from 1 species
CCUACGGGAGGCAGCAGUGAGGAAUAUUGGUCAAUGGGCUUACGCCUGAACCAGCCAAGUCGCGUGAGGGAAGACUGCCCUAUGGGUUGUAAACCUCUUUUGUCAGGGAGCAACGCCGGCUACGUGUAGCCGGACUGAGAGUACCUGAAGAAAAAGCAUCGGCUAACUCCGUGCCAGCAGCCGCGGUAAUACGGAGGAUGCGAGCUUUAUCCGGAUUUAUGGGGUUUAAAGGGUGCGUAGGCGGAAUGCCAAGUCAGCGGUAAAGUCGCGGGGCUAACCCUCGCUCCGCCGUUGAAACUGGCGGUCUUGAGUGGGCGAGAAGUAUGCGGAAUGCGUGGUGUAGCGGUGAAAUGCAUAGAUAUCACGCAGAACUCCGAUUGCGAAGGCAGCAUACCGGCGUCCCACUGACGUUGAAGCACGAAAGCGUGGGUAUCGAACAGGAUUAGAUACCCUAGUAGUC